rnacentral:rRNA from 1 species
UACGUAGGGUGCGAGCGUUGUCCGGAAUUAUUGGGCGUAAAGAGCUUGUAGGCGGUUUGUCGCGUCUGCUGUGAAAAUCCGGGGCUCAACCCCGAGCCUGCAGUGGAUACGGGCUAGCUAGAGUGCGGUAGGGGAGACUGGAAUUCCUGGUGUAGCGGUGAAAUGCGCAGAUAUCAGGAGGAACACCGGUGGCGAAGGCAGGUCUCUGGCCAUUACUGACACUGAGAAGCGAAAGCAUGGGGAGCGAACAGG